GCCGGCGUAGCUCAGUCGGUAGAGCGUCUGUUUUGUAAACAGAUGGUCGGGGGUUCGAUUCCUCUCGCCGGCUCCA
rnacentral:tRNA from 1 species